GAACGGGUGAGUAACACGUGGGUGAUCUGCCCUGCACUUUGGGAUAAGCCUGGGAAACUGGGUCUAAUACCGAAUAGGGCCACGCGCUUCAUGGUGUGUGGUGGAAAGCUUUUGCGGUGUGGGAUGGGCCCGCGGCCUAUCAGCUUGUUGGUGGGGUAAUGGCCUACCAAGGCGACGACGGGUAGCCGGCCUGAGAGGGUGACCGGCCACACUGGGACUGAGAUACGGCCCAGACUCCUACGGGAGGCAGCAGUGGGGAAUAUUGUACAAUGGGCGCAAGCCUGAUGCAGCGACGCCGCGUGAGGGAUGACGGCCUUCGGGUUGUAAACCUCUUUCAAUAGGGACGAAGCGCAAGUGACGGUACCUAUAGAAGAAGCACCGGCCAACUACGUGCCAGCAGCCGCGGUAAUACGUAGGGUGCGAGCGUUGUCCGGAAUUACUGGGCGUAAAGAGCUCGUAGGUGGUUUGUCGCGUUGUUCGUGAAAACUCACAGCUUAACUGUGGGCGUGCGGGCGAUACGGGCAGACUAGAGUACUGCAGGGGAGACUGGAAUUCCUGGUGUAGCGGUGGAAUGCGCAGAUAUCAGGAGGAACACCGGUGGCGAAGGCGGGUCUCUGGGCAGUAACUGACGCUGAGGAGCGAAAGCGUGGGGAGCGAACAGGAUUAGAUACCCUGGUAGUCCACGCCGUAAACGGUGGGUACUAGGUGUGGGUUCCUUCCUUGGGAUCCGUGCCGUAGCUAACGCAUUAAGUACCCCGCCUGGGGAGUACGGCCGCAAGGCUAAAACUCAAAGGAAUUGACGGGGGCCCGCACAAGCGGCGGAGCAUGUGGAUUAAUUCGAUGCAACGCGAAGAACCUUACCUGGGUUUGACAUGCACAGGACGCCGGCAGAGAUGUCGGUUCCCUUGUGGCCUGUGUGCAGGUGGUGCAUGGCUGUCGUCAGCUCGUGUCGUGAGAUGUUGGGUUAAGUCCCGCAACGAGCGCAACCCUUGUCCUAUGUUGCCAGCGGGUUAUGCCGGGGACUCGUAGGAGACUGCCGGGGUCAACUCGGAGGAAGGUGGGGAUGACGUCAAGUCAUCAUGCCCCUUAUGUCCAGGGCUUCACACAUGCUACAAUGGCCGGUACAAAGGGCUGCGAUGCCGUGAGGUGGAGCGAAUCCUUUCAAAGCCGGUCUCAGUUCGGAUCGGGGUCUGCAACUCGACCCCGUGAAGUCGGAGUCGCUAGUAAUCGCAGAUCAGCAACGCUGCGGUGAAUACGUUCCCGGGCCUUGUACACACCGCCCGUCACGUCAUGAAAGUCGGUAACACCCGGAGCCGGUGGC
rnacentral:rRNA from 1 species